rnacentral:misc_RNA from 1 species
CGAACUGCGAUAAUUAAUGUGAAUUGCAGAAUUCAGUGAAUCAUCGAGUCUUUGAACGCACAUUGCGCCCCCUGGUAUUCCGGGGGGCAUGCCUGUCCGAGCGUCAUUGCUGCCCUCAAGCACGGCUUGUGUGUUGGGCUUCCGUCCCUGGCAACGGGGACGGGCCCAAAAGGCAGUGGCGGCACCAUGUCUGGUCCUCGAGCGUAUGGGGCUUUGUCACCCGCUCCCGUAGGUCCAGCUGGCAGCUAGCCUCGCAACCAAUCUUUUUAACCAGGUUGACCUCGGAUCAGGUAGGGAUACCCGCUGAACUUAAGC